rnacentral:rRNA from 1 species
CCUACGGGAGGCUGCAGUAGGGAAUCUUCCACAAUGGGCGAAAGCCUGAUGGAGCAACGCCGCGUGGGUGAAGAAGGUCUUCGGAUCGUAAAACCCUGUUGUUAGAGAAGAAAGUGCGUGAGAGUAACUGUUCACGUUUCGACGGUAUAUAACCAGACAGCCACGGCUAACUACGUUCCAGCAGCCGCGGUAAUACGUAGGUGGCAAGCGUUAUCCGGAUUUAGUGGGCGUAAAGGGAACGCAGGUGGUCUUUUAAGUCUGAUGUGAAAGCCUUCGGCUUAACCGGAGUAGUGCAUUGGAAACUGGGAGACUUGAUUGCAGAAGAGGAGAGUGUAACUCCAUGUGUAGCGGUGAAAUGCGUAGAUAUAUGGAAGAACACCAGUGGCGAAAGCGGCUCUCUGGUCUGUAACUGACGCUGAGGUUCGAAAGCGUGGGUAGCAAACAGGAUUAGAUACCCUAGUAGUC